ACGAACGCUGGCGGCGUGCUUAACACAUGCAAGUCGAACGGAAAGGCCCUGCUUGCAGGGUACUCGAGUGGCGAACGGGUGAGUAACACGUGGGUGAUCUGCCCUGCACUUCGGGAUAAGCCUGGGAAACUGGGUCUAAUACCGGAUAGGAGCCAUUUUUAGUGUGAUGGUUGGAAAGGUUUUUCGGUGUAGGAUGAGCUCGCGGCCUAUCAGCUUGUUGGUGGGGUAAUGGCCUACCAAGGCGGCGACGGGUAGCCGGCCUGAGAGGGUGGACGGCCACAUUGGGACUGAGAUACGGCCCAGACUCCUACGGGAGGCAGCAGUGGGGAAGAUUGCACAAUGGGCGCAAGCCUGAUGCAGCGACGCCGCGGGGGGGAUGACGGCCUUCGGGUUGUAAACUCCUUUCGCUAGGGACGAAGCUUUUUGUGACGGUACCUAGAUAAGAAGCACCGGCUAACUACGUG
rnacentral:rRNA from 1 species